GGUCAGUCCCGACGAGUCCCAAACAGGACGAAACGCACGUCCUGGGU
rfam:Schistosoma curassoni strain Dakar, Senegal genome assembly, scaffold: SCTD_scaffold0003314